AUUGAACGCUGGCGGCAUGCCUUACACAUGCAAGUCGAACGGUAACAGGUUAAGCUGACGAGUGGCUAACGGGUGAGUAAUGUAUCGGAACGUGCCCAGUCGUGGGGGAUAACUGCUCGAAAGAUCAGCUAAUACCGCAUACGACCUGAGGGUGAAAGCGGGUGCUCGCAAGACCUCGCGCGAUUGGAGCGGCCGAUAUCAGAUUAGGUAGUUGGUGAGGUAAAGGCUCACCAAGCCGACGAUCUGUAGCUGGUCUGAGAGGACGACCAGCCACACUGGGACUGAGACACGGCCCAGACGACUACGGGAGGCAGCAGUGGGGAAUUUUGGACAAUGGGCGCAAGCCUGAUCCAGCCAUGCCGCGUGCGGGAAGAAGGCCUUCGGGUUGUAAACCGCUUUUGUCAGGGAAGAAAAGGUUCUGGCUAAUACCUGGGACUCAUGACGGUACCUGAAGAAUAAGCACCGGCUAACUACGUG
rnacentral:rRNA from 1 species